rnacentral:rRNA from 1 species
UAGUCCACGCCGUAAACGAUGGAUACUAGGUGUCCGGGAAGCUAACCUCCUGGGUACUACAGCUAACGCGUUAAGUAUCCCGCCUGGGAAGUACGGUCGCAAGAUUGAAACUCAAAGGAAUUGACGGGGGCCCGCACAAGCGGUGGAGCAUGUGGUUUAAUUCGAUGAUACGCGAGGAACCUUACCAGGGCUUAAAUGGGGAUUGACAGGACUGGAAACAGUUUUUUCUUCGGACAAUCUUCAAGGUGCUGCAUGGUUGUCGUCAGCUCGUGCUGUGAAGUGUCGGGUUAAGUCCCAUAACGAGCGCAACCCCUAUUUCUAGUUGCUAGCAGGUAAUGCUGAGGACUCUAGAGAAACUGCCCGUGCAAACGGUGAGGAAGGUGGGGAUGACGUCAAAUCAUCACGGCCCUUACGUCCUGGGCUACACACGUGCUACAAUGGCCGGUACAGAGGGCAGCUACCAUGUGAAUGGAUGCAAAUCUCAAAAGCCGGUCUCAGUUCGGAUCGGAGUCUGCAACU